AAUAAUGCACUAUGUAAACAAGGGGCAUAACCACUCAGCAAAUUGUACUUACGGAUUUCGGAUGUGAUUGUGGAAUGUGUUUUAGUUUCAAACAUUUGUUAUGAUUUAUGAAAAUUUGGGGUCGCAAAAACUGGUGAACAGUGCCAGAAGAAGUACCAAAAUUCCAAGGCUCGGUCUUCUUCAUAUGCGUUACAAAGCAGUGAGAGUGCCACAACAGCCAGCAGAGAAGAACAUAUGAGUGUACCAGUCAUGAAAGUAGAGGCAUGAAGUGGAAAGAAUCGCUCACAAAGAAGACCGACAAGAGAUCACAAGGAGAUACCUUAACAAAACUUACAGAGAAACCGAUGGAAAAAGACUAAGAAAAAAUAGAAUAAAAAAAAAAAAAAGUUGACUGUAGAAAUUGAAAUAAUACAUUUGGAGAAAAAGAUGUGUUUAGUGUCAAUACGUGACCAAGUGCUAUAACUCUGACAUGUUAUAUACUAGUAGUAGAUUUAUUCCCCUUUUUGUAAUUAAAAGGAUCUUAUUAUUUUUUUGUGCAACUACUUCAAAACUCUAUUAUUUCUUAAAUAGAAAGUCUAUAUUAGAAAUAAUAGAGUUAUGGAGCAGUUGCACACAAAAUAAUAAGUUUUUUUUUUUAAUCAAAAAGGGGCAUUCUCAUAUUUCUAUGAUAAAAAUAUGAUUAUGUCCCUUUUUGUACUUAUAAAAUUCCAGUCAAUAUUUGUGUGCUUGAAGAAAUGUAGGUCAAAUAUUACAUUGGUCAUUGUAUUAUGUUACUGACAGAUAAAAUACAUUCUACAUUCAAAGAGGAAUAUUAGUUGAAUGCGGUGUCUUGGGACACUUCUUGGUAUUAUUUGCUUACAAGAUAUACAUCAUUAAUAAUAAUAAAAUUCUUCAUUCAAUGAACUGAAUGAAAUUCCAGAAUAAUGAUAGAUACAGUUAUGUGAAUUUGAAAUUAGACAUCAACAAAUCCUGGCAUCAUACUUUCGCCCUGGCCAACUGGCAGUGAACUUGAGUGAAGCUCGUUAUUCUGAAGCUGGCGUCAUACACAGCCUGUUAACAUAAAACAUGUUAUAUUACACUAACAAAAUAAGACAUAUUUUUGUACAUUUUUUCUUAGGUAUUUGAUAAAAUGCUGAUGAUAUGUUUCUUAUAUUGCUAAUGGCAAACUGUUAAAAUUAACAUACAGUUGUUUCAUUAAAUAUUUGUGUUUAAAAUAAAGUAUCAAAGAAAAGCGA